rnacentral:tRNA from 1 species
GACCAGCUAGCUCAGUCGUUAGAGCAUGAGACUUUUAAUCUCAGGGUAGUGUAUUCGAUUUAUUUUCAUCA